UACGGGGGGGGCAAGCGUUGUUCGGAAUUACUGGGCGUAAAGGGCGCGUAGGCGGCCUGCUAAGUCGGACGUGAAAUCCCCCGGCUCAACCGGGGAACUGCGUCCGAUACUGGUGGGCUCGAAUCCGGGAGAGGGAUGUGGAAUUCCAGGUGUAGCGGUGAAAUGCGUAGAUAUCUGGAGGAACACCGGUGGCGAAGGCGGCAUCCUGGACCGGCAUUGACGCUGAGGCGCGAAAGCGUGGGGAGCGAACAGG
rnacentral:rRNA from 1 species